rnacentral:rRNA from 1 species
AACGAACGCUGGCGGCAUGCCUAACACAUGCAAGUCGAACGAGACCUUCGGGUCUAGUGGCGCACGGGUGCGUAACGCGUGGGAACCUGCCCUUAGGCUCGGCAUAACUCCCCGAAAGGGGUGCUAAUACCGGAUAAUGUCUUCGGACCAACGAUUGAUCGCCUUUGGAUGGGCCCGCGUGGGAUUAGCUAGUUGGUAGGGUAAAAGCCUACCAAGGCGACGAUCCAUAGCUGGUCUGAGAGGAUGAUCAGCCACACUGGGACUGAGACACGGCCCAGACUCCUACGGGAGGCAGCAGUGGGGAAUAUUGGACAGUGGGCGAAAGCCUGAUCCAGCAAUGCCGCGUGAGUGAUGAAGGCCUUAGGGUUGUAAAGCUCUUUUACCCGGGAUGAUAAUGACAGUACCGGGAGAAUAAGCUCCGGCUAACUCCGUG